GGCCCCGUAGCUCAGCCUGGAUAGAGCAGUACCGUCCUAAGGUGAAGGUCGUGCGUUCGAAUCGCACCGGGGUCG
rnacentral:tRNA from 1 species